rnacentral:tRNA from 1 species
UCCCAGGUGGCCCAGUGGUUAAGGAUCCAGCUUUGUCACUGCUGUGGCUCAGGUUUGAUUCCCUGGCCCGGGAA